CCUACGGGUGGCAGCAGUGAGGAAUAUUGGUCAAUGGGCGCGAGCCUGAACCAGCCAAGUCGCGUGAGGGAAGACGGUCCUAUGGAUUGUAAACCUCUUUUGUCGGGGAGCAAAAGACGCCACGCGUGGCGUUCCGAGAGUACCCGAAGAAAAAGCAUCGGCUAAAUCCGUGCCAGCAGCCGCGGUAAUCCGGAGGUUCGGGACGUUAACGGGAUUUCUUGGGUUUAAAGGGUGCGUGGGUGGAUUGUUAAGUCAGUUGUGAAAGUUUGUGGCUCAAACGUAAAAUUGCAGUUGAAACUGGCAGUCGUGAGUACAGUAGAGGUGGGCGGAAUUCGUGGUGUAGCGGUGAAAUGCUUAGAUAUCACGAAGAACUCCGAUUGCGAAGGCAGCUCACUGGACUGCAACUGACACUGAGGCUCGAAAGUGUGGGUAUCAAACAGGAUUAGAUACCCCUGUAGUC
rnacentral:rRNA from 1 species